rnacentral:tRNA from 1 species
ACCUGGGUAGCUCAGUCAGUUGAGCUUCUGACUUCGGUUCAGGUCAUGAGCCGGGGGUUCGUGGGUUCAAGCCCCACGUUGGGCU